UGGGGAAUAUUGGGCAAUGGGGCGAAAGCCUGGCCCAGCAACGCCGCGUGAAGGAAGAAGGUCUUCGGAUUGUAAACUUCUUUUAUCAGGGACGAAGGAAGUGACGGUACCUGAUGAAUAAGCCACGGCUAACUACGUGCCAGCAGCCGCGGUAAUACGUAGGUGGCGAGCGUUAUCCGGAUUUACUGGGUGUAAAGGGCGCGUAGGCGGGGAUACAAGUCAGGUGUGAAAUCUAUGGGCUUAACCCAUAAACUGCACUUGAAACUGUAUCUCUUGAGUGUCGGAGAGGUAGACGGAAUUCCUAGUGUAGCGGUGAAAUGCGUAGAUAUU
rnacentral:rRNA from 1 species